rnacentral:rRNA from 1 species
UUUAAAUUUAGAGUUUGAUCCUGGCUCAGGACGAACGCUGGCGGCGUGCUUAACACAUGCAAGUCGAGCGAUGAAGCUUCCUUCGGGAAGUGGAUUAGCGGCGGACGGGUGAGUAACACGUGGGUAACCUGCCUCAAAGUGGGGGAUAGCCUUCCGAAAGGAAGAUUAAUACCGCAUAAUAUAAGAGAAUCGCAUGAUUUUCUUAUCAAAGAUUUAUUGCUUUGAGAUGGACCCGCGGCGCAUUAGCUAGUUGGUAAGGUAACGGCUUACCAAGGCAACGAUGCGUAGCCGACCUGAGAGGGUGAUCGGCCACAUUGGAACUGAGACACGGUCCAGACUCCUACGGGAGGCAGCAGUG